AUGGCGGAGGCGGCACUGGACUCUGUGCGGAGGGCGUUGCAAGAGUUCCCGGCAGCGACUCGCGACCUCAGUGUAUCUCGUGCUGUGCCCUACCUGGAUGGGCCCCCAAGUCCACUGUGCUUCUACCGGGACUGGGUGUGCCCCAAUAGGCCCUGCAUUAUCCGCCAUGCGCUGCAACACUGGCCAGCCCUCCAGAAGUGGUCCCUCUCCUACUUAAGAGCCACAGUGGGCUCCACAGAGGUGAGCGUGGCUGUGACCCCAGAUGGCUAUGCAGAUGCUGUGCGAGGGGACCGGUUUGUGAUGCCCGCGGAACGUCGCCUGCCCAUGAGCCAUGUGCUGGAUGUGUUGGAGGGCCGGGCGCAGCACCCAGGAGUCCUCUACGUGCAGAAGCAGUGCUCCAACCUGCCCACCGAGCUACCCCAGCUUCUGUCAGACAUCGAGUCCCAUGUGCCGUGGGCCUCUGAGUCACUGGGAAAGAUGCCUGAUGCCGUGAACUUCUGGCUGGGCGAGGCAGCUGCGGUGACUUCCUUGCACAAGGACCACUAUGAGAAUCUGUACUGUGUGGUCUCCGGCGAGAAACACUUCUUGUUACAUCCACCCAGUGACCGGCCUUUCAUCCCCUAUGAUUUGUACACACCAGCAACCUACCAGCUGACCGAAGAGGGCACUUUUAGGGUGGUGGACGAGGAGGCCAUGGAGAAGGUGCCCUGGAUCCCACUGGACCCCCUGGCUCCAGACCUGGUCCGGUACCCCAGUUACAGCCAGGCACAGGCCCUUCACUGCACGGUGCGGGCCGGUGAGCUGUUGUACCUGCCAGCCCUUUGGUUCCACCAUGUCCAGCAGUCCCACGGUUGCAUUGCUGUGAAUUUCUGGUAUGACAUGGAGUAUGACCUCAAGUACAGUUACUUCCAGCUGGUGGACUCCCUUACGAGGGCCGCAGGCCUUGACUGAUGGGACCCUCACAGACACUGCAGAGGACAGCCCGUGUCGGGGGUUGAUUCUAGAAGCAACCUAGAGUUUGCCUAUGAACUGGCUGCUGCCGGGGUUCCUGCGUGGGCUGAGAUCAGCCUUGAAGAAACCUGAAAUAUAGUUGGAGGGCCUCACCCAGGCAGGUCUGGGUGAAGGUGCCCAGAAAGUUGCCACAUAGGGACAAGGAAGCAUGGAUCAGGUACAGCAGUGCCUGUCACCAGUGCUAUGACCUUGGGCAAAGGUGGCGGGGACAUGCCUGCUCACUGUACGUGUCCUCCAGGCUAAUGGCUUGCCUUCCAAGGACCUAGUGACCUCCUCCGACUGCUAUGUGACUCUGGACCUGCCCACAGCCUCCAGCCACAC